CACAGCAUAGCAUAGUGUAAUAAUAAUAAUAAUAAUAAUAAUAAUAAUGUAUUGAUUCGGGGUAUGGAUACGGUUUCAGAACCUGAGAUUCCAAUUCCAUCUUCUUCUUCUUCUUCUUCAUCAAUGGCGAAGAGACCUUGUCCAGCACAAAACCCUAGAAUGGAAGUCGAACACGUUCUCGAAGAAUUUCUCUCCCUCUCCGAUUGUCCUUCUCUUUCCAUCGAUCUCUCCUUAGAGAAUCUUCUUCAAUCAAUGCCUGCUGAUACUGAUCUCAUCGAUCGCGCUCUCAAAAUGGGAUCUCUACUUCUUGAUGCUGCCAAACACUCCUCUCGCAAACGCGCUUAUAAUCAUAAUUCAAUUGUUUGGCCUCUUCCUCCUGACCUCACCUUCAAGAUCUUCUCGAUGCUUGAUACUCAGAGCCUGUGCUUUGUAUCUGCUGCUUGCUCAUUUUUUAGCAAAUGUGCUAAAGAUCCUUUGUGCUAUGAGAAUCUUGAUUUGAGAACACUUGUUCCCAAGGUUAACAAUGCAGUAGUUGCCACCAUGAUUCAGAGAGCUGGAAAGGCACUAAGGUCUAUUAAACUUGGUGUUGUCCCUGUUACUGCUUGUCCUCUUGGAUUUUGUCAACCAUCAGUUUCUACAGUCAGAAAAGCUAUUGUAGAGGCACCCAACUAUUCAUGGAAUGAUAAGAGGUCUCGUCAAGGGAGAGAAUCAUCCAUUCUUACAAGAUGCUGUUUAAGCCCUUUAAGUGGGGAUGGUGGUGCACCAGGGGCUCUUUUGAGAAAGUUACACCUGUACAAUAUUGAGAGAAUGGACAACACAUCUCUUUGUUGUGCAUUGUCAGCGUGCCCUUCUCUCCUUGAUCUGGAAAUUGUUGGAAUUCAUGUUGAGCUGAGGCAAACAUUAAUGUCAGUAAGUGCUAACUGCCACUUAAUUGAGCGUUUGUUUUUCGAGUCUUCCAGAACAGGUAGAGAUGACAGCUUGAAAACACAAACCUGUUCCGAGCUAGUAAACAAUUGUCCUCAUCUAACUUCUUUAUCUCUUCGAGGGUUUAAGCUACAUGAUUGUAAAGUUCGUAUACUUGUUAAGGGAUUUCGGAAACUGCAAUAUGUUGAUUUUUCAUCAUCAUAUUCAAUCACAGGAAGUUUCUUGAGGAACCUUGGAGGCUGCAAUGGUGGGAAUUUCCUCGAGGUCUUAAUUUUAAGGGAUUGCAUGCAUCUCAAAGAGAUCGAAGUUGCUAGGUUGUUGAUAGCGGUUCUUGAAGGAGAAUUCAAAUUGCUUAAACAUCUUGACAUAUCCAAUAGGGAAGGCUUAGCAUGUGAAGCUGACUGGUAUCACAGGUGCUACAACUCUAGUAUUAUGCCUAUAAAGCAGGUUUUGGAGGCAAGGCCUGGUAUGCGUGUGGUGGCGGAAUAUCCAUCAGAAGGAAGCUACGUCGAGACAUGUGAUACUGACAUGAAUAGUGAUAUAAGUCUGUUAUCACAAUUUAGCAACCACACGUCAGAUGGAUCAAUUUUUAUGAGUACAUCUGAAAGCAGCUACUACAGCGAUCAUGUUAGUGGCAACGAGGAAGGACAAGAUGCGGUGAUUUACGGGGAAAGUUCAGAUGAGGAGAACAAUCUGAACCUGUAACCAAUUUUCAAUGUACGCCAUUAAUUGAAAAGGACAAUAAUCUAGUGAAGUUGUAGGGGAAGAAGGAUAUGCGGAAGAAGGAUAUGCCGGUCACCAGGAUCAAUGUCAACUGCGGACCUUGGAUCUUCUCAACUUUAAUUUUGCACUUCACCGACUCUCUUGAGUUCAUCAUUGUGGAGUUUGUAGCAAUUUUGUUAUUGCUCUUGGUUUCCAUAUUUGCAGAAUGUAUGUGACCGCUCCAUCCCAUUCCACCCCCUAAAAGAGAGGUGGAUUUUCCAUAUAACGUGGGAGUUUUGGUCUCUCUUAUUGGCUCUAAUGUGCAGGAUAGAUUCAAUCAUAUGAAUGAUGUCUCCCUUUGACACUAGCUGUCUAUUUUGCAUAAUAAAAUAUAAUAAAAAUUAUUUGUUACAUUAUCAGCAUAGCAUUCAUUCCGAACAAAAUAAAUGCUAACUGAUUUUUUCAGGUA